AAAAGCCUCUAAGCAUCAGGUAACAUCAAAUCGUACCCCAAACCGACACAGGUGGUCAGGUAGAGAAUACCAAGGCGCUUGAGAGAACUCGGGUGAAGGAACUAGGCAAAAUGGUGCCGUAACUUCGGGAGAAGGCACGCUGAUAUGUAGGUGAAGUCCCUUGCGGAUGGAGCUGAAAUCAGUCGAAGAUACCAGCUGGCUGCAACUGUUUAUUAAAAACACAGCACUGUGCAAACACGAAAGUGGACGUAUACGGUGUGACGCCUGCCCGGUGCCGGAAGGUUAAUUGAUGGGGUCAGCGCAAGCGAAGCUCUUGAUCGAAGCCCCGGUAAACGGCGGCCGUAACUAUAACGGUCCUAAGGUAGCGAAAUUCCUUGUCGGGUAAGUUCCGACCUGCACGAAUGGCGUAAUGAUGGCCAGGCUGUCUCCACCCGAGACUCAGUGAAAUUGAACUCGCUGUGAAGAUGCAGUGUACCCGCGGCAAGACGGAAAGACCCCGUGAACCUUUACUAUAGCUUGACACUGAACAUUGAGCCUUGAUGUGUAGGAUAGGUGGGAGGCUUGGAAGUGUGGACGCCAGUCUGCAUGGAGCCGACCUUGAAAUACCACCCUUUAAUGUUUGAUGUUCUAACGUUGACCCGUAAUCCGGGUUGCGGACAGUGUCUGGUGGGUAGUUUGACUGGGGCGGUCUCCUCCUAAAGAGUAACGGAGGAGCACGAAGGUUGGCUAAUCCUGGUCGGACAUCAGGAGGUUAGUGCAAUGGCAUAAGCCAGCUUGACUGCGAGCGUGACGGCGCGAGCAGGUGCGAAAGCAGGUCAUAGUGAUCCGGUGGUUCUGAAUGGAAGGGCCAUCGCUCAACGGAUAAAAGGUACUCCGGGGAUAACAGGCUGAUACCGCCCAAGAGUUCAUAUCGACGGCGGUGUUUGGCACCUCGAUGUCGGCUCAUCACAUCCUGGGGCUGAAGUAGGUCCCAAGGGUAUGGCUGUUCGCCAUUUAAAGUGGUACGCGAGCUGGGUUUAGAACGUCGUGAGACAGUUCGGUCCCUAUCUGCCGUGGGCGCUGGAGAACUGAGGGGGGCUGCUCCUAGUACGAGAGGACCGGAGUGGACGCAUCACUGGUGUUCGGGUUGUCAUGCCAAUGGCACUGCCCGGUAGCUAAAUGCGGAAGAGAUAAGUGCUGAAAGCAUCUAAGCACGAAACUUGCCCCGAGAUGAGUUCUCCCUGACUCCUUGAGAGUCCUGAAGGAACGUUGAAGACGACGACGUUGAUAGGCCGGGUGUGUAAGCGCAGCGAUGCGUUGAGCUAACCGGUACUAAUGAACCGUGAGGCUUAACCUUACAACGCCGAAG
rnacentral:rRNA from 1 species